UGGGUAACCUGCCUCAAAGAGGGGAAUAGCCUCCCGAAAGGGAGAUUAAUACCGCAUAAUAUGUUUAGGUCGCAUGACUUUAACAUCAAAGGAUUUUCUUUUAGAAAUUCCACUUUGAGAUGGACCCGCGGCGCAUUAGCUAGUUGGUGAGGUAACGGCUCACCAAGGCAACGAUGCGUAGCCGACCUGAGAGGGUGAUCGGCCUCAUUGGAACUGAGACACGGCCCAGACUCCGUAGGGAG
rnacentral:rRNA from 1 species